rnacentral:rRNA from 1 species
UACGGAGGGGGCUAGCGUUGUUCGGAAUUACUGGGCGUAAAGCGCACGUAGGCGGCUUUGUAAGUCAGAGGUGAAAGCCCGGAGCUUAACUCCGGAAUUGCCUUUGAGACUGCAUUGCUUGAAUCCAGGAGAGGUGAGUGGAAUUCCGAGUGUAGAGGUGAAAUUCGUAGAUAUUCGGAAGAACACCAGUGGCGAAGGCGGCUCACUGGACUGGUAUUGACGCUGAGGUGCGAAAGCGUGGGGAGCAAACAGG